GUGGGGAAUAUUGCACAAUGGGGGAAACCCUGAUGCAGCGACGCCGCGUGAGUGAAGAAGUAUUUCGGUAUGUAAAGCUCUAUCAGCAGGAAAGAAAAUGACGGUACCUGACUAAGAAGCCCCGGCUAACUACGUGCCAGCAGCCGCGGUAAUACGUAGGGGGCAAGCGUUAUCCGGAUUUACUGGGUGUAAAGGGAGCGUAGACGGUAUGGCAAGUCUGAAGUGAAAACCCGCAGCUUAACUGUGGGACUGCUUUGGAAACUGUUAAACUAGAGUGCAGGAGAGGUAAGUGGAAUUCCUAGUGUAGCGGUGAAAUGCGUAGAUAUUAGGAGGAACACCAGUGGCGAAGGCGGCUUACUGGACUGUAACUGACGUUGAGGCUCGAAAGCGUGGGGAGCAAACAGGAUUAGAAACCCUAGUAGUCC
rnacentral:rRNA from 1 species